AUUGAACGCUGGCGGCAGGCCUAACACAUGCAAGUCGAGCGGAGCGACGGACGGGUGAGUAAGGCCUAGGAAGCUGCCUGGUAGUGGGGGAGAAAGUCCGGAAAGGAGCGCUAAUACCGCAUACUAUCAGACGAGCCUAGGGGGGAUUAGCUAGUUGGUGGGGUAAAGGCCUACCAAGGCGACGAUCCGUAACUGGUCUGAGAGGAUGAUCAGUCACACUGGAACUGAGACACGGCCCAGACUCCUACGGGAGGCAGCAGUGGGGAAUAUUGGACAAUGGGCGAAAGCCUGAUGCAGCCAUGCCGCGUGUGUGAAGAAGGUCUUCGGAUUGUAAAGCACUUUAAGUUGGGAGGCGUUACCAACAGAAGAAGCACCGGCUAACUUCGUGCCAGCAGCCGCGGUAAUAC
rnacentral:rRNA from 1 species